rnacentral:tRNA from 1 species
GAGUGUAUAGCUCAGUGGUAGAGCACAUACUUAGCAUAUGAGGUCCUGGGUUCAAUCCCCAGUACUGCCA